rfam:Cavia porcellus supercont2_129 genomic scaffold, whole genome shotgun sequence.
GGGGAUUUAGCUCAGCGGCAUAAGCGCCUGCCUUGCAAGCAGGCAGUUGUGAGCUUGUGAGUUCGAUCCCCUUCCGUCCCCG